rnacentral:rRNA from 1 species
UACGUAGGGUCCAAGCGUUGUCCGGAUUUAUUGGGCGUAAAGAGCGUGUAGGCGGCUUUACAGGUCCGUUGUGAAAACUCGAGGCUCAACCUCGAGACGCCGGUGGAAACCGUAAGGCUAGAGUCCGGAAGAGGAGAGUGGAAUUCCUGGUGUAGCGGUGAAAUGCGCAGAUAUCAGGAAGAACACCCGUGGCGAAGGCGGCUCUCUGGGACGGUACUGACGCUGAGACGCGAAAGCGUGGGGAGCGAACAGG